rnacentral:rRNA from 1 species
GAGGCGUGGCUUCCGGAGCUAACGCGUUAAGUAGACCGCCUGGGGAGUACGGCCGCAAGGUUAAAACUCAAAUGAAUUGACGGGGGCCCGCACAAGCGGUGGAGCAUGUGGUUUAAUUCGAUGCAACGCGAAGAACCUUACCUGGUCUUGACAUCCACAGAAGAAUCCAGAGAUGGAUUUGUGCCUUCGGGAACUGUGAGACAGGUGCUGCAUGGCUGUCGUCAGCUCGUGUUGUGAAAUGUUGGGUUAAGUCCCGCAACGAGCGCAACCCUUAUCCUUUGUUGCCAGCGGUCCGGCCGGGAACUCAAAGGAGACUGCCAGUGAUAAACUGGAGGAAGGUGGGGAUGACGUCAAGUCAUCAUGGCCCUUACGACCAGGGCUACACACGUGCUACAAUGGCGCAUACAAAGAGAAGCGACCUCGCGAGAGCAAGCGGACCUCAUAAAGUGCGUCGUAGUCCGGAUUGGAGUCUGCAACUCGACUCCAUGAAGUCGGAAUCGCUAGUAAUCGUGGAUCAGAAUGCCACGGUGAAUACGUUCCCGGGCCUUGUACACACCGCCCGUCACACCAUGGGAGUGGGUUGCAAAAGAAGUAGGUAGCUUAACCUUCGGGAGGGCGCUUACCACUUUGUGAUUCAUGACUGGGGUGAAGUCGUAACAAGGUAACCGUAGGGGAACCUGC